AGUUCGCUUGCCACGCACGUCCAGUACUUGCCCACGCACGGUGUGAUGUGGCCAAGCCCACCCUCUGUGUUAUAUGUUCACCGCUCCCAGUGUUCAGCGAUGCUUAUCAUGAGCACGUUACAUACAGUCGUGGUGUCAAGUUCCACGGCUUUAUUGUUAAGUCACGCACGUUUGCUCCGUCACCGUGUGUACAUCAGUUGUUUGUGGCACGAUCACAUUUUGUCAUCAGUUGUUUCCACAUAUGAAGAAAAUGUGUAAAUUUUAGCACAUAGUUAUUAGCAGUACACAAUGCAGAUGAAUCUUGUUCAAACAUUCAAAUUUGUAAAUGCAUAAUUUUGUCACCAAUUUAAAUUUUAAAAGAAAUUUUUUACAUAUGUGUAUAAAUUGAGUUUCACAAAGUUUCACUAAAAUUAUUCAAAAUUAAGAACGAUUACAUUUGAAUUUAAAUAAGAGAAAAAUUUCAUCGCGUUUUUAAUAGUUAUUUGACACGUUCAAUUUCAACAUUUAGAAGUUGCAGUUUUUCAUUUUGUUUUCAUUUUAAAGUUUGGUCAAAAUCAUUCAAAUUAGUUUUUCUUUUUAUAACAAUUGCCUAUUUUAUGAAUUGCGGGUUGAUUAAGCAGUUUUCAUCCCAUUUCCAAAAUUCCUCAUUGUUGCCAAUUAUAAGAAUAUUAAAAUUUUAAAAUUUCACAAUUUGAAUUUAAAUGUUCAAAGUCCAAUAAUUUUCAUUUUUUUUGGUAAGCCUUUCGGGGGGGGGGUGGCAAACCCCUCCCCGCCCCCAAUUCAAGCGAUAAAUUAAAACUCCCCAAGGGGUUAAAACAUUAAAAACCCCACCACUUUAAAGGAAAAAUUCCGUAAAUUUUAGGUGGAUUUUUUUCGCAUUACUCACACGCGGGCAACUUCCUAAUUAUUUUUUGCCUCUGGCUAUAGGAAAUUGUUAGUGGCAGACGGGUGAGUAAUGCGUAGGAAUCUACCUAGUAGUACGGAAUAGCCAUUAGAAAUGGUGGGUAAUACUGUAUAAUCCCCGAGGGGGAAAGAUUUAUCGCUAUUAGAUGAGCCUACGUUAGAUUAGCUAGUUGGUGAGGUAAUGGCUUACCAAGGCUAUGAUCUAUAGCUGGUCUGAGAGGACGAUCAGCCACACUGGAACUGAGAUACGGUCCAGACUCCUACGGGAGGCAGCAGUGGGGAAUAUUGGACAAUGGGCGAAAGCCUGAUCCAGCUAUGCCGCGUGAGUGAAGAAGGCUUCGGGUGUAACUUACGC
rnacentral:rRNA from 1 species